CCUACGGGAGGCAGCAGUGAGGAAUAUUGGUCAAUGGACGAGAGUCUGAACCAGCCAAGUAGCGUGAAGGAUGACUGCCCUAUGGGUUGUAAACUUCUUUUAUAAAGGAAUAAAACGAGGCACGUGUGCCUUUUUGCAUGUACUUGUUGAUUCAAGAUCGGCUAACUCCGUGCCAGCAGCCGCGGUAAUACGGAUGAUCCGAGCGUUAUCCGGAUUUAUUGGGUUUAAAGGGAGCGUAGAUGGGUUGUUAAGUCAGUUGUGAAAGUUUGCGGCUCAACCAUAAAAUUGCAAUUGAUACUGGAAGUCUUGAGUACAGUGGAGGUAGGCGGAAUUCGUGGUGUAGCGGUGAAAUGCUUAGAUAUCACGAAGAACCCCGAUUGCGAAGGCAGCUUACUAAACUGUGACUGACAUUGAUGCUCGAAAGUGUGGGUAUCAAACAGGAUUAGAUACCCUAGUAGUC
rnacentral:rRNA from 1 species